UACGAAGGGUGCUAGCGUUGCUCGGAAUCACUGGGCGUAAAGCGCACGUAGGCGGCUUACUAAGUCAGGGGUGAAAUCCUGGAGCUCAACUCCAGAACUGCCUUUGAUACUGGUGAGCUUGAGUUCGGGAGAGGUGAGUGGAACUGCGAGUGUAGAGGUGAAAUUCGUAGAUAUUCGCAAGAACACCAGUGGCGAAGGCGGCUCACUGGCCCGAUACUGACGCUGAGGCACGAAAGCGUGGGGAGCAAACAGG
rnacentral:rRNA from 1 species